AGGACGAACGCUGGCGGCGUGCUUAACACAUGCAAGUCGAGCGAUGAAGCUCCUUCGGGAGUGGACUAGCGGCGGACGGGUGAGUAACACGUGGGUAACCUGCCUCAUAGAGGGGAAUAGCCUUUCGAAAGGAAGAUUAAUACCGCAUAAGAUUGUAGUACCGCAUGAUACAGCAAUUAAAGGAGUAAUCCGCUAUGAGAUGGACCCGCGUCGCAUUAGCUAGUUGGUGAGGUAACGGCUCACCAAGGCGACGAUGCGUAGCCGACCUGAGAGGGUGAUCGGCCACAUUGGGACUGAGACACGGCCCAGACUCCUACGGGAGGCAGCAGUGGGGAAUAUUGCACAAUGGGGGAAACCCUGAUGCCAGCAACGCCGCGUGAGUGAUGACGGCCUUCGGGUUGUAAAACUCUGUCUUUGGGGACGAUAAUGACGGUACCCAAGGAGGAAGCCACGGCUAACUACGUGCCAGCAGCUGC
rnacentral:rRNA from 1 species